rnacentral:rRNA from 1 species
CAGUGACUUUAUUCAACGGCCGCGGUAUCCUAACCGUGCAAAGGUAGCGUAAUCACUUGUCCCCUAAAUAGAGACCAGUAUGAAAGGCAUCACGAGGGCUAAACUGUCUCCUUUUUCUAAUCAGUGAACCUAAUCUCCCCGUGAAAAAGCGGGGAUCCCCCUAUAAGACGAGAAGACCCUAUGGAGCUUAAAACAUAACAAUACCUGCCUUACCUAAUAUACCCAGAUUUUCCCCCUCCCCCACGUUCUUAUUGUGUGUUUUUGGUUGGGGCGACCGCGGAGAAAAACCUAUCCUCCUCAAUGAAAUGGGACUCCCCUAAACAACAAGCUACAACUUUAAGUAUCAAAAAAUUGACAUCCCUUGACCCAAUAAAUUGAUUAAUGAACCAAGUUACCCUAGGGAUAACAGCACAAUCCACUUUGAGAGCUCCUAUCGACAAGUGGGCUUAUGACCUCGAUGUUGGAUUAGGGUAUCCUAGUGGUGCAGCCGCUACUAAAGGUUCGUUUGUUCAACGAUUAAAACCCCACGUGAUCU